rfam:Candidatus Methanoregula boonei 6A8, complete genome.
GCGAGGGUAGCCAAGCCAGGUCAACGGCGCCAGGUUCAGGGCCUGGUCUCGCAGGAGUUCUUGGGUUCGAAUCCCAUCCCUCGCA